rnacentral:snoRNA from 10 species
ACAAGGGUUCUAAUUUCACUACAUCCCCUCCAAUACUUGGUAUCUUUCCUUUCUUAAAAAAAUAGCCAGCCUAGUGAGUGUGAAGUGGCAUCUCAAAGUGGUUUUGAUUU